rnacentral:rRNA from 1 species
AGUGAACGCUGGCGGUAGGCCUAACACAUGCAAGUCGAACGGCAGCACAGUAAGAGCUUGCUCUUACGGGUGGCGAGUGGCGGACGGGUGAGGAAUACAUCGGAAUCUACUUUUUCGUGGGGGAUAACGUAGGGAAACUUACGCUAAUACCGCAUACGACCUACGGGUGAAAGCAGGGGAUCUUCGGACCUUGCGCGAUUGAAUGAGCCGAUGUCGGAUUAGCUAGUUGGCGGGGUAAAGGCCCACCAAGGCGACGAUCCGUAGCUGGUCUGAGAGGAUGAUCGGCCACACUGGAACUGAGACACGGUCCAGACUCCUACGGGAGGCAGCAGUAGGGAAUAUUGGGCAAUGGGCGCAAGCCUGAUCCAGCCAUACCGCGUGGGUGAUGAAGGUCUUCGGGUUGUAAAGCCCUGUUGUUAGGAAAGAAAAGCAGCAGAUUAAUCCCCCGCUGUUCUGACGGUACCCAAAGAGUAAGCACCGGCUAACUUCGUG